UGUGUGACGUUACAGAUUCAUCAUUUUCUCAGACUCACUUCUCUUUCUCCCUCUCGUAUGCGAUUUCCGGCGGAAACACCACCGCCCUCGCCGCCGCGAAACGACCUUGUAUCAGUAACCCUCUAACAUGAGCCUACCCUAAAAUCACGCUCUGAGUUCAAUUACGUCCACAGAUUACACAGAAAGUCCCUCAUUUGGCCGGAUCAUAGAAUUCCCUCACGAAACCCUAAGUUCUAGAAACUCAAAUUAAAUGGAGACAGCGAUCGGGAAUACAUCAAGACCUUGGGGAAGAUGAUCAGAGAACACAAAUACAUCGGAUACAACCGCAAGAAAAUCGAAGAAAGGUUGAAAAAUUACUUACCUGCCGGAGAACGGUCCGGCGCCUCUUCUAGCGAAUUUGGCGAAAUAAACGCAGAACGAUGUCGAGUUUGCUAUUGUUCCUGAAUCACGAAGGAAACAGGAACCAUGUUUGGAAACUCUUAGAAGCUUUGUUGGACAUGGAGCAAAAUGAAGAUCAAAAGGAAAUGGGUUGAUUGAAGAUUUAAGAAGAGAUGGGUUUUAGGGGGUCAACUGUGUUUUUUUUGUAGAAUAUUAUGUAAUGAUUUUCUUUGUUUUGUAAUAGGAUGAUGGUUGGAUAGUGUAACGAACAAAACUUUUUCUCUUUGAGUGAAUUCCCAUAUUUUUCUGAA